GAUGAACGCUGGCGGCGUGCCUAAUACAUGCAAGUCGAGCGAACGGACGAGAAGCUUGCUUCUCUGAUGUUAGCGGCGGACGGGUGAGUAACACGUGGAUAACCUACCUAUAAGACUGGGAUAACUUCGGGAAACCGGAGCUAAUACCGGAUGAUAUUUUGAACCGCAUGGUUCAAAAGUGAAAGACGGUCUUGCUGUCACUUAUAGAUGGAUCCGCGCUGCAUUAGCUAGUUGGUAAGGUAACGGCUUACCAAGGCAACGAUGCAUAGCCGACCUGAGAGAGUGAUCGGACACACUGGAACUGAGACACGGUCCAGACUACUACGGGAGGCAGCAGUAGGGAAUCUUCCGCAAUGGGCGAAAGCCUGACGGAGCAACGCCGCGUGAGUGAUGAAGGUCUUCGGAUCGUAAAACUCUGUUAUUAGGGAAGAACAUAUGUGUAAGUAACUGUGCACAUCGUGACGGUACCUAAUCAGAAAGCCACGGCUAACUACGUG
rnacentral:rRNA from 1 species